CAACAGUUGGAAACGACUGCUAAUACCGCAUGAUGCAUAAGGGUCGCAUGAUUCUUAUGCCAAAGAUUUAUCGCUUCAAGAUGGCCUCGCGUCUGAUUAGCUGGUUGGCGGGGUAACGGCCCACCAAGGCGACGAUCAGUAGCCGGACUGAGAGGUUGAACGGCCACAUUGGGACUGAGAUACGGCCCAGACUCCUACGGGAGGCAGCAGUGGGGAAUAUUGGGCAAUGGGCGCAAGCCUGACCCAGCAACGCCGCGUGAAGGAAGAAGGCUUUCGGGUUGUAAACUUCUUUUAAGAGGGAAGAGCAGAAGACGGUACCUCUAGAAUAAGCCACGGCUAACUACGUGCCAGCAGCCGCGGUAAUACGUAGGUGGCAAGCGUUGUCCGGAUUUACUGGGUGUAAAGGGCGUGCAGCCGGGUCUGCAAGUCAGAUGUGAAAUCCAUGGGCUCAACCCAUGAACUGCAUUUGAAACUGUAGAUCUUGAGUGUCGGAGGGGCAAUCGGAAUUCCUAGUGUAGCGGUGAAAUGCGUAGAUAUUAGGAGGAACACCAGUGGCGAAGGCGGAUUGCUGGACGAUAACUGACGGUGAGGCGCGAAAGUGUGGGGAGCAAACAGGAUUAGAUACCCUGGUAGUCCACACUGU
rnacentral:rRNA from 1 species